rnacentral:lncRNA from 1 species
GGUGCAGGUGGUGGCGCCGGCGGUGGCUUCGGAGGAGGCGCGGGAGGCGGAGCAGGAGGAGGCUUCGGCCAUGGUGGAGGCGCAGGUUUCGGCGGUGGAGCGGGUGGCGGAGCUGGCGCCGCCGGAGGCGGGGGAUUCGGCGGAGGCGGAGGCGCAGGCGGCGGCGGCGACAUCGGGGACGGGCAGUGAUGCUCGCGCAGGGGCGGGCGGGCGCACGUACGUCGCGGUCGCCUCCGUCCAUGCAUGCAGCAAGACGCGCGCGCCAUGACGAUCAAAGCAAGCAAGCAAUCUUGGUAGUCUACGACUCUACGUACGUACGGUAUACGCGAAUAAUUUGUUGGGUGGUGAGCGAUGAUGAGUACUCUACAUGACAUUCCUUUUCCUUGUGUAUCCAUGAUAGUGUUACUAUGACGCAUGUAUUAUUUUGGAAGCCAAUAUACGUUUCCACUUGUACCAAAGAUAUAUGAAAAGAUUAAAGAUUAUAUUACGCAGAGAGUGAGAGUGAUGCCUACUACCAUGUGUACAACAGCGCAAGCUUUGUUUAAAAAAAGAGAUAAAUCCAUACUACAACCUCGAACUACCAUUGAAGUCGAAAACACAACCCUCCGUUUAAUAUACAACCCUUAACUUUCAAAACCAG